rnacentral:rRNA from 1 species
CUACGGGAGGCAGCAGUGGGGAAUUUUCCGCAAUGGGCGAAAGCCUGACGGAGCAAUACCGCGUGAGGGAAGACUGCCUAUGGGUUGUAAACCUCUUUUUUCAGGGAGGAAUAAAUGGCGUGUACCUGAAGAAUAAGCAUCGGCUAACUCCGUGCCAGCAGCCGCGGUAAGACGGAGGAUGCAAGUGUUAUCCGGAAUCACUGGGCGUAAAGCGUCUGUAGGUGGUUUAAUAAGUCAACUGUUAAAUCUUGAGGCUCAACUUCAAAAUCGCAGUCGAAACUAUUAGACUAGAGUAUAGUAGAGGUAAAGGGAAUUUCCAGUGGAGCGGUGAAAUGCGUAGAUAUUGGAAAGAACACCGAUGGCGAAAGCACUUUACUGGGCUAUUACUGACACUCAGAGACGAAAGCUAGGGUAGCAAAUGGGAUUAGAUACCCCAGUAGUCCUAGCCGUAAACAAUGGAUACUAGAUGUUGAACAGAUCGACCUGUGCAGUAUCAAAGCUAACGCGUUAAGUAUCCCGCCUGGGAAGUAUGCUCGCAAGAGUGAAACUCAAAG